rnacentral:rRNA from 1 species
CCUACGGGUGGCAGCAGUGGGGAAUAUUGCUCAAUGGGGGAAACCCUGAUGCAGCGACGCCGCGUGAGUGAAGAAGUAAUUCGUUUUGUAAAGCUCUAUUAGCAGGGAAGAAAAUGACGGUACCUGAGUAAGAAGCACCGGCUAACUCCGUGCCAGCAGCCGCGGUAAUACGUAGGGGGCAAGCGUUAUUCGGAUUUACUGGGCGUAAAGGGCGCGUAGGCGGGAGGGCAAGUCUGGAGUGAAAUGCGGGGGCUGAACCACCGGACUGCAUUUGAAACUGUACGGCUGGAGUGCAGGAGAGGUAAGUGGAAUGCCUGGUGUAGCGGUGAAAUGCGUAGAUAUCAGGAGGAACACCAGUGGCGAAGGCGGCUUACUGGAACGUAACUGACGUUGAGGCGCGAAAGCGUGGGGAGCAAACAGGAUUAGAUACCCGAGUAGUC